rnacentral:rRNA from 1 species
CCUACGGGUGGCAGCAGUGAGGAAUAUUGGUCAAUGGACGAGAGUCUGAACCAGCCAAGUAGCGUGCAGGAUGACUGCCCUAUGGGUUGUAAACUUCUUUUAUAUGGGAAUAAAAUGUUCCACGUGUGGGUUUUUGUAUGUACCCUAUGAAUAAGGAUCGGCUAACUCCGUGCCAGCAGCCGCGGUAAUACGGAGGAUCCGCGCGUUAUCCGGAUUUAUCUGGUUUAAAGGGAGCGUAGGUGGGUUGUUAAGUCAGUUGUGAAAGUUUGCGGCUCAACCGUAAAAUUGCAGUUGAAACUGGCAGUCUUGAGUACAGUAGAGGUGGGCGGAAUUCGUGGUGUAGCGGUGAAAUGCUUAGAUAUCACGAAGAACUCCGAUUGCGAAGGCAGUUCACUGGACUGCAACUGACACUGAGGCUCGAAAGUGUGGGUAUCAAACAGGAUUAGAUACCCUUGUAGUC